rnacentral:rRNA from 1 species
GACGAACGCUGGCGGCGUGCCUAAUACAUGCAAGUCGAGCGAACAGACGCGGAGCUUGCUCCUCUGACGUUAGCGGCGGAAGGGUGAGUAACACGUGGAUACCCUACCUAUAAGACUGGGAUAACUUCGGGAAACCGGAGCUAAUACCGGAUCAUAUAUUGAACCUCAUGGUUCAAUAGUGAAAGACGGUUUUGCUGUCACUUAUAGAUGGAUCCGCGCCGCAUUAGCUAGUUGGUAAGGUAACGGCUUACCAAGGCAACGAUGCGUAGCCGACCUGAGAGGGUGAUCGGCCACACGGGAGCGGAGACACGGUCCAGACGCCUGCGAGAGGCACCAGUAGGCAAUCUGCCGCAAUGGGCGAAAGCCUGACAGAGCAACGCCGCGUGAGUGAUGAAGGCCUUCGGAUCGUAAAACUCUGUUAUUAGGGAAGAACAAAUGUGUAAGUAACUAUACACGUCUUGACGGUACCUAAUCAGAGAGCCACGGCUAACUACGUG